AACUCCAGAGAAGAGACCAAGCGGGGCGAGUGCGGUAUCAGGCAUCGACGGGGAAUCCAAACAAGUGGCCAUCUCACUCUCCACCAUCUGAGCUCUGAAGACAGCUUUGCAGCGGCCGCAAGCAUUCUUCAAACGCUCUUUGGAGUUUGUGGAAAGUUUGUGCUGGAGAUCUUGAAUAGCCUGCCUCAGAAUGCUCCUCACUGCUGUUUUUCGGAUGAUAAUACCCUCGGUACGGUGGCCACCAGCAUCCUGAUGCCCUCUGGACCACACAGCUCUCUCUACAGCUGGAGGUGAUACCCGCAAACAUGCCUCUCUGUGACAGGCCUCUCACCAAGAUGAAUUCAUCGCCAGCACCGGUUGAAAUACUCUGGCCAAAACAAGUAGUUUGAUUGCCCUGACCGCAAAUUAAGUUAGUGUGAUUCAAUUUUCGAUUUGGAGCUAUCCAGCAGCCAUACAUCACAGCAGACAUAUUUCAUUACCCAGCUAAACAGGUGGGGGGCGGGGCCAAGGGUGCAGGACUCCACAGGAAGACAUCAUAGCAUUGCUAUGGCACACGUUCAAUCGCUAACACUCCCUUCCUCCCAGCUACAACAGGGCUAUUUUUAUCAUGCAAACACAUAGGGCUGUCACCGCACACGCUCGCAAGCUCAUCAGAUAUAUCCAGAUAAUUGUGAUUGUCCCUGUCCGUUCGGUGAGAGAUGAUGUAAACAGCAUUAUCGCCACUGUUUAGGAAAGGGAAUGUGUGUGUGCGUGUCUGUAAAACAAACGACAGGCUGUUAUUGCACGCAAACCGCCAGAUGAUGCAAAACAGCACUUCUCGCAGUUUAUGCCUCUGAGAAUUGUUGUCCGUUUCCUUGGUGACCAGCUGUCACACUGAUUGCACUGACAUGAAGAAUAUCCACGCUGUCCGUAGUCUGGUCAGGGCAAAAUGAAAUGUUUAUGUGCC
rnacentral:lncRNA from 12 species